rnacentral:rRNA from 1 species
CAGUAGCCACGGUAAUACGUAGGGUGCAAGCGUUAAUCGGAAUUACUGGGCGUAAAGCGUGCGCAGGCGGUUUGUUAAGACAGAUGUGAAAUCCCCGGGCUCAACCUGGGAACUGCAUUUGUGACUGGCAAGCUAGAGUCUGGCAGAGGGGGGUGGAAUUCCGCGUGUAGCAGUGAAAUGCGUAGAUAUGUGGAGGAACACCGAUGGCGAAGGCAGCCCCCUGGGAUAAUACUGACGCUCAUGCACGAAAGCGUGGGGAGCAAACAGGAUUAGAUACCCCAGUAGUCCCUGUCUCUUAUAC